GUGAGGUUUUAGUCUACUCAGGUGUGAAUUACUCAAAAGUUUAGUCUACUCAGGUGUGAAUUAAGAAUGGUCAGUCCUUUGGAAAACAUCUACUGUGAUUGGUAGAUGUGAGAACUUAGGGGAAGUAACAUAGGAAAAAAUUCUCUUUAAAAGGCGAAUCAGAAGGCCUCUGAAAGGAGAUUCAGUUUGUCAAAGCUGAAUUAGAGCUCGGACUAGUUGGAGUAGCUGGGUCUCUCUGAACACUAGAAUCUUGCUUGGGACAAAUCUUGUGGGGCUGCUGAAGAAAUGGUGUGCUAGCUUAAAAAAACAAAACUGAUGAUCUUUAUACUGGAUAGACAUUUAUUAU
rnacentral:lncRNA from 1 species